rnacentral:lncRNA from 1 species
CUGCCACACUGCUCUGCUGUGGAGAUUCUCCAGGCAUGAAUACUGGAGUGAAUAGCCAUGCCCUCCUCCAGGGGAUCUUCCUAACCCAGGGAUCAAACCCAGGUCUCCAUCAAUGCAGGCAGAUUCUUUAAUCUCAGCCACCAGUGAAGCCCUCAGCUCUAGGCAGUAGCAUCAGUCAUGUUAGAUACUCUUUCAUCUUUUCCAAACUCUGCUUAUCUUACCUGUUCUUUAUUUUAGAUCACUGUUUCACAUCUCAAGUCUCAAUCUUCAUAGAAAUCACUGGACAAUCUUGUAAAAGGCAGACUUGGAUAAGAGAUGUGUGGUCCUUUCUGAAAUGGCAGCCCACUCCAGUAUUCUUGCCUGGAAAAUCCCGUGGACCGCAGAGCCUGGUAGGUUACCGUCCAUGUGGUCGCAAAGAGUCGGACACGACUGAGCGACUUCACUUUCUUUCACUUUCACUUAGCUUCCAGAGUGCGGAGAAGGCAAUGGCACCCAACUCCAGUACUCUUGCCUGGAAAAUCCCAUGGACGGAGGAGCCUGG